CUGGAAGCCAGUUGCCUCAGCCCAAGGUUUCACAGUCCAUUCAAACACAGGCUCAAGGGAAAAUUUUCAGAACUCUGUAUUACAAAUGCCUCUCCGAACUCAAACCAUUUGGUUGCAUUUUUAACCACCUCUAGACUGUCCCAGGGGUAACAAGGUAAGCUAGUAUGAACUGUUUCCU